rnacentral:sRNA from 1 species
AAACAAUGUUUGAACAAGUAAUUUUGGGUCCGUAAUAUAGCCCAUAUCACAAAAAUGCCCCAAAAAGUACUUAAAGGUCAAAAUUUGGGGUCGACAAAAAGUCAAUGGAAUAGUUCUAUUGUCCUGCUUCUUUCGUCGGAGGGCUCUCUUUAGGUUUCCGAAAAGGUAUCACAUGCCAAGUUUGGCCUCACGGUAUAAAAGUUAUAGACUCAUAAAGUUUUAACCAAAAAAAACAAAUUAAAAAAAAAGAUGGAUGCAACACGAGGACUUUCCGGGAGGUCACCCAUCCUAGUACUACUCUCGCCCAAGCACGCUUAACUAAAGGUCAAAAUUUGGAGUCGACAAAAAGUCAAUGGAUAUGUUCCAUUGUCCUGCUUCUUUCAUCGCUG